rnacentral:lncRNA from 1 species
AUGGAAUCAUUAACUUUCAAGGAUCUCCAGUAUUGCUUCAAGAGCUCCACUCUAGUAAUUAUCCAACUUCUUGUUUUCUCACUCCUUCAGCCCAUCCGCCACCCUGCUCUGCCUAGUUUGUUGAAAUGUAAGGGCAAUCUGGCUAUUUUUACUUUGUUGAUACACAGUGCAGACCAGGAGAGUCUAGCUAACAAUUUUAAUGCCAUUUUCCCUACUUCCCUUUUCAUACGUGAUCCUCCAGAAGCUGUUUUUCCUUUGCCCAUGAUGAUGAUGACUUUCCUCCGAAGAGAACUUUUCAUUAGGCAAGAAAGGACUCAACUCAGAGUAACCCACUAAGGACAGGAAGAGCAACCUAAGUACCAGGUCGCAGCAUCUGCCUCAAUCUCAAACCCAACUUCAGGAGUAUCAGAAGAAUGAAGAAUUGCCACUGCUUUCAGGCAGGUGAUUUAUUAGGCAGACUGAUUUUGGUCUAAGUUAGUAAUAGAAACAUGUUAUCUGUCCCUUCCUGAAAAACUCCUCCAUGUGAAAACUUCAUUUAACCCAUUUUUAGAUGUCCUGAUUUCUUUCAUGACUCUACAUUUUUGUGGUAAAACCUCUCCAACUGCCUCUCCACAUCCUCCCCCAGGAUGGACCUCACUAGACAGUAUAUGGCUCUGCCUCCAAUUACGGUUUACUUCAUUUGGCAUUGGAUUUUUCUCAUCACAGUGUCAUUUGAAUCAGGUGAGAUGAUACAUAUUUCCCAAAGGAGUCCAAACAGUGUAUGCACGUGUGUUGCAACCUUUAUUGCAAACACUACCUGAUUUCCCUCUCACCAUGUUCUUCCUUAACCUCAUUCAUGUCAUUAAAAUACAAACAUUUCACAGCUCUGCCUGCUUUCUUUCCCUGUUUUAUCUCUUUCAACUAAAGUUUUAUACAUUAAAUUUAUUAAAUAAUCCUGAAGUGUUUUCCUCAUUUUAGAAGCAACAAAUACAUGUGAUCAUUAUCUAUUUCUUCCUCACUCUUCUCCUUCACCACAUUGUCUCCCCAUUUCAGGUAAUCUAUUAAUGUCCAAACAUGCAUCCUUUCAUAUUUUCUCUAUGCUUAUAUCAUAUACAUAAGUAUAUAUGCACAUGUACAUUUAAUAUAUAAAGAGAUUUUGGGGCAGAGGGUAAUCCUUGGUUUUAGAAAAAUCAUGUCUCAUAUGUUUUUCUGAAUCUUGUUCUUCUCAACAGUACCUCAUGAAAAUCAUGUCAAAUAACUGGAAUCACUUUAACUCAAUCUUUAAAAUGUCUGCAUAGUAUUUCAUGGUGACAUGACUUAGUUAUUCCCCUUACUAAUAGGUAUUUCAUUUACCUUUUUUGUUGUUGACAUUUCAUAUGCACAACAAUAAAUUUGUUUAAAUAUAAGGAUUUAAGUAUGUAUAUCAUUUUAUGAUAGAGUAGUUAAUUUUUAUGGGAUACCUAUGGCAUAUUCACAGAUUCACAGCUUUACAAAAAGUGAUA